rnacentral:rRNA from 1 species
CCUACGGGUGGCAGCAGUGAGGAAUAUUGGUCAAUGGGCGAGAGCCUGAACCAGCCAAGUCGCGUGAGGGAGUACUGCCCUAUGGGUUGUAAACCUCUUUUGUCGGGGAGCAAAAGCCGGACGUGUCCGGCUGUGAGAGUACCCGAAGAAAAAGCAUCGGCUAACUCCGUGCCAGCAGCCGCGGUAAUACGGAGGAUGCGAGCGUUAUCCGGAUUUAUUGGGUUUAAAGGGUGCGCAGGCGGAUUUUUAAGUCAGCGGUAAAAUCGUGGGGCUCAACCCCAUCCAGCCGUUGAAACUGGGGAUCUAGAGUGUGCGAGAGGUAUGCGGAAUGCGUGGUGUAGCGGUGAAAUGCAUAGAUAUCACGCAGAACCCCGAUUGCGAAGGCAGCAUACCGGUGCACAACUGACGCUCAGGCACGGAAGCGUGGGUAUCGAACAGGAUUAGAUACCCCAGUAGUC